UACGGAGGGGGCCAGCGUUGUUCGGAAUUAUUGGGCGUAAAGGGCGCGUAGGCGGCCGGAUAAGUCUGAUGUGAAAUCCCUCGGCUUAACCGAGGAACUGCCUGUCAAACUGCGUGGCUUGAGACCAGGAGAGGUGAGUGGAAUUCCCAGUGUAGCGGUGAAAUGCGUAGAUAUUGGGAGGAACACCAGUGGCGAAGGCGGCUCACUGGACUGGUACUGACGCUGAUGCGCGAAAGCGUGGGGAGCAAACAGG
rnacentral:rRNA from 1 species